AUCUAUGGCCAUGCCACCCUGAACAGACCCGAUGUCUGAAGUUGAGUAGGGUUGGGUCUGGUUAGUACUUGGAUGGGAGACCACCUAGGAAAACCAGGUGCUGUAGGCA
rnacentral:rRNA from 1 species